rnacentral:misc_RNA from 1 species
CGUCAGAUGGGUAUAAGAGACAGGUGAAUCAUCGAAUCUUUGAACGCACAUUGCGCCCCUUGGUAUUCCGGGGGGCAUGCCUGUUCGAGCGUCAUAAUAACCCUCAAGCUUAGCUUGGUGUUGGGGCCUGCCUCUGGGCAUCCCUUAAAGCAAGUGGCGGUGCCGUCUGGCUCUAAGCGUAGUAAUAAACCCUCGCUAUAGUGUCUAGUGGUUAACUUGCCAAAACCCCUAAACUUCUUAAGUUUGACCUCGGAUCAGGUAGGGAUACCCGCUGAACUUAAGCAUAUCAAUAAGCGGAGG